rnacentral:rRNA from 1 species
UUAAAUUGAAGAGUUUGAUCAUGGCUCAGAUUGAACGCUGGCGGCAGGCCUAACACAUGCAAGUCGAACGGUAACAGGAAGCAGCUUGCUGCUUUGCUGACGAGUGGCGGACGGGUGAGUAAUGUCUGGGAAACUGCCUGAUGGAGGGGGAUAACUACUGGAAACGGUGGCUAAUACCGCAUAACGUCGCAAGACCAAAGAGGGGGACCUUCGGGCCUCUUGCCAUCAGAUGUGCCCAGAUGGGAUUAGCUUGUUGGUGAGGUAACGGCUCACCAAGGCGACGAUCCCUAGCUGGUCUGAGAGGAUGACCAGCCACACUGGAACUGAGACACGGUCCAGACUCCUACGGGAGGCAGCAGUGGGGAAUAUUGCACAAUGGGCGCAAGCCUGAUGCAGCCAUGCCGCGUGUAUGAAGAAGGCCUUCGGGUUGUAAAGUACUUUCAGCGGGGAGGAAGGUGUUGUGGUUAAUAACCGCAGCAAUUGACGUUACCCGCAGAAGAAGCACCGGCUAACUCCGUGCCAGCAGCCGCGGUAAUACGGAGGGUGCAAGCGUUAAUCGGAAUUACUGGGCGUAAAGCGCACGCAGGCGGUCUGUCAAGUCGGAUGUGAAAUCCCCGGGCUCAACCUGGGAACUGCAUUCGAAACUGGCAGGCUUGAGUCUUGUAGAGGGGGGUAGAAUUCCAGGUGUAGCGGUGAAAUGCGUAGAGAUCUGGAGGAAUACCGGUGGCGAAGGCGGCCCCCUGGACAAAGACUGACGCUCAGGUGCGAAAGCGUGGGGAGCAAACAGGAUUAGAUACCCUGGUAGUCCACGCCGUAAACGAUGUCUACUUGGAGGUUGUGCCCUUGAGGCGUGGCUUCCGGAGCUAACGCGUUAAGUAGACCGCCUGGGGAGUACGGCCGCAAGGUUAAAACUCAAAUGAAUUGACGGGGGCCCGCACAAGCGGUGGAGCAUGUGGUUUAAUUCGAUGCAACGCGAAGAACCUUACCUGGUCUUGACAUCCACAGAACAUUCCAGAGAUGGAUUGGUGCCUUCGGGAACUGUGAGACAGGUGCUGCAUGGCUGUCGUCAGCUCGUGUUGUGAAAUGUUGGGUUAAGUCCCGCAACGAGCGCAACCCUUAUCCUUUGUUGCCAGCGGUCCGGCCGGGAACUCAAAGGAGACUGCCAGUGAUAAACUGGAGGAAGGUGGGGAUGACGUCAAGUCAUCAUGGCCCUUACGACCAGGGCUACACACGUGCUACAAUGGCGCAUACAAAGAGAAGCGACCUCGCGAGAGCAAGCGGACCUCAUAAAGUGCGUCGUAGUCCGGAUUGGAGUCUGCAACUCGACUCCAUGAAGUCGGAAUCGCUAGUAAUCGUGGAUCAGAAUGCCACGGUGAAUACGUUCCCGGGCCUUGUACACACCGCCCGUCACACCAUGGGAGUGGGUUGCAAAAGAAGUAGGUAGCUUAACCUUCGGGAGGGCGCUUACCACUUUGUGAUUCAUGACUGGGGUGAAGUCGUAACAAGGUAACCGUAGGGGAACCUGCGGUUGGAUCACCUCCUUACCUGAAAGAAGC